rnacentral:sRNA from 2 species
GUCCGAUAUCAACCAGCUGCGGGACAAAAUCUGAUGUCCAAUCCUUUCAAUCAGCAUCGCUUGGUCGUUGAUUAUUUGAAGGACGAUGUCGAGUUAGCCUAUUUUUGAACACGCGAUUCCAACUUGAGCGAAAGUUUGCCAGUCCUUUUCUCUAGUGCCAAACUACGGCGAAAAUCGUGGAAUAUCUGUUGGGCACUAGUUGCCCAGGUGGCCCUCCACCGCACGUGAUUACCCCUAUAUAGUUAGCUAGCGACCACAACAAUAACAAGAUCAACCAUCCCACAGGUUAUGGCCUGGAUAGCAGAUUUUUAAUAAAAACAGAUGUUUUAAUUAGAAUACACUGCAACUGAUGUUAUAUUGGAUGAGUUAGACAUUAUUCCUCUGAAAAGAGAGCUCUUUGUCUAUAAAAGUGGUAUAAUUGACAGAAUUACUGUUGAGACUGCUGCAG